AGUGAACGCUGGCGGUAUGCCUAACACAUGCAAGUCGAACGGCAGCACAGUAAGAGCUUGCUCUUACGGGUGGCGAGUGGCGGACGGGUGAGGAAUACAUCGGAAUCUACUUUUUCGUGGGUGAUAACGUAGGGAAACUUACGCUAAUACCGCAUACGACCUACGGGUGAAAGCAGGGGAUCUUCGGACCUUGCGCGAUUGAAUGAGCCGAUGUCGGAUUAGCUAGUUGGCGGGGUAAAGGCCCACCAAGGCGACGAUCCGUAGCUGGUCUGAGAGGAUGAUCAGCCACACUGGAACUGAGACACGGUCCAGACUCCUACGGGAGGCAGCAGUGGAGAAUAUUGGACAAUGGGCGCAAGCCUGAUCCAGCCAUACCGCGUGGGUGAAGAAGGCCUUCGGGUUGUAAAGCCCUUUUGUUGGGAAAGAAAAGCAGCAGGUUAAUACCCCGCUGUUCUGACGGUACCCAAAGAAUAAGCACCGGCUAACUUCGUG
rnacentral:rRNA from 1 species